UGGGGAAUCUUGCGCAAUGGGGGGAACCCUGACGCAGCGACGCCGCGUGCGGGACGGAGGCCUUCGGGUCGUAAACCGCUUUCAGCAGGGAAGAGUCAAGACUGUACCUGCAGAAGAAGCCCCGGCUAACUACGUGCCAGCAGCCGCGGUAAUACGUAGGGGGCGAGCGUUAUCCGGAUUCAUUGGGCGUAAAGCGCGCGUAGGCGGCCCGGCAGGCCGGGGGUCGAAGCGGGGGGCUCAACCCCCCGAAGCCACCGGAACCUCCGCGGCUUGGGUCCGGGAGGGGAGGGUGGAACACCCGGUGUAGCGGUGGAAUGCGCAGAUAUCGGGUGGAACACCGGUGGCGAAGGCGGCCCUCUGGGCCGAGACCGACGCUGAGGCGCGAAAGCUGGGGGAGCGAACAGG
rnacentral:rRNA from 1 species